CCAACAUGGUUCCUUGGAAGUGAAGAUCAUUCUGUUCAAUCUCAGCCAAGUAGUGCCAAUGGAAAACGAGGGAUCCGGGAGGGGAUGAAAAUGUUAGUUGCUUCCUCACUGUUUGGAGUCGGUCGAACUUCUGAAUCCUCACAAACACCACCACAACCUCCACCUAGUGCCCCUAUAAUGCCGAGAAACACUUCAGCAUCUCCUUCCACCCCUAAGUUCAUUGACAAAGAGCCAGUGAUGGACUGGACAGAUAGCUUUGUCACCAGGCAGAUGGCUUUGAAGCCUGCUCACCACCCAAAAUGCAACAUUGAUCAUACUGUCAUGAUCACAACUCCCCCGUGGCAGUUGGAGUCCCUGCAUGGAAAAAAUAAGUUUCCCCCAUCAAGUGAACUCAAACCCCCACAGAUUGUCAGCAGGAAUAAUAGCAUUGGUCAGUCAAACUCCUUAUCUUGUUAUCAUUAAUUAUGAAUAGCAUAUGAGGUGCUUGAUUGGGUAUCACCGUCAAUGUCGUAGGUCUGAAUGGGAGCUAAAAAUGC
rnacentral:lncRNA from 1 species